rnacentral:rRNA from 1 species
GACGAACGCUGGCGGCGUGCUUAACACAUGCAAGUCGAGCGGUAAGGCCCUUUCGGGGGUACACGAGCGGCGAACGGGUGAGUAACACGUGGGUGACCUGCCCUCAGCUCUGGGAUAAGCCCGGGAAACUGGGUCUAAUACCGGAUAUGACUCCAUGACGCAUGUUGUGGGGUGGAAAGCCUUGUGCGGCUGAGGAUGGGCCCGCGGCCUAUCAGCUUGUUGGUGGGGUGAUGGCCUACCAAGGCGACGACGGGUAGCCGGCCUGAGAGGGCGACCGGCCACACUGGGACUGAGACACGGCCCAGACUCCUACGGGAGGCAGCAGUGGGGAAUCUUGCGCAAUGGGCGAAAGCCUGACGCAGCGACGCCGCGUGAGGGAUGACGGCCU